GCCGCAUGCAGGCGCCGCUCUAGGUACCGGGAACCUGGCAGUAAACGAAACGGAUGAAAGAUACAGGAACACCCAGGCACCGGUGGUACUCACACUAUGGCUCUCAGCUGGACCUCUGAGCCUCCAUUACAGCGCUCCCCUGCAUUGGCUCAGGCAUUGACUAGUGCCUGGCCUGCUGGAAGCUUUGUGUGCGGAAGUGCCUCCCUGCUGAUGGGCUCCUCAAGGUCCCUGGCACCUGUUUAGAUGCACACCGCCAACACCCCUGGAACUUAUUGUUCUGUACACGGGUUCUCAGAGGCUCACACAGGGUGGGGGUCAGAAGAUGUGUCCAGGAAAACGUGGGUCACACAAGAUUAACCAUAUGUAGUGGCUAUUCCUGGUUGUCAACUU
rnacentral:lncRNA from 1 species